GCGCCCGUACCGUAAACCGACACAGGUGGGUGAGGAGAGUAUCCUAAGGCCAGCGAGAGAACUAUUGUUAAGGAACUCGGCAAAAUGACCCCGUAACUUAGGGAGAAGGGGUGCCUGUCUAUGACAGGCCGCAGAGAAUAGGCCCAGGCGACUGUUUACCAAAAACACAGGUUUCUGCUAAGUCGCAAGACGAUGUAUAGGAGCUGACGCCUGCCCGGUGCUGGAAGGUUAAGGGGAUCUGUUAGAGCAAUCGAAGCAGUGAACUUAAGCCCCAGUAAACGGCGGCCGUAACUAUAACGGUCCUAAGGUAGCGAAAUUCCUUGUCGGGUAAGUUCCGACCCGCACGAAAGGCGUAACGAUUUGGGCACUGUCUCAACAAUAGACUCGGUGAAAUUGUAAUCCCGGUGAAGAUGCCGGGUACCUGCGACAGGACGGAAAGACCCCAUGGAGCUUUACUGUAGCUUGACGUUGGGUCUUGGUACUACAUGUACAGGAUAGGUGGGAGACUAUGGAGCAUGGACGCCAGUCUGUGUGAAGUCAUCCUUGGGAUACCACCCUUGUAGUACUGGGAUCCUAACCAUAGGCCUUGAAUCAGGUCUUGGAACACCGUCAGGUGGGCAGUUUGACUGGGGCGGUCGCCUCCUAAAAAGUAACGGAGGCGCUCAAAGGUUUCCUCAGCACGGUCGGAAAUCGUGCGAAGAGUGUAAAGGCAAAGGGAAGCUUGAUUGCAAGACAUACAGGUCGAGCAAGGACGAAAGUCGGACUUAGUGAUCCGGUGGUACCGCAUGGAAGGGCCAUCGCUCAACGGAUAAAAGCUACCCUGGGGAUAACAGGCUUAUCUCCCCCAAGAGUCCACAUCGACGGGGAGGUUUGGCACCUCGAUGUCGGCUCAUCACAUCCUGGGGCUGUAGUAGGUCCCAAGGGUUGGGCUGUUCGCCCAUUAAAGUGGUACGCGAGCUGGGUUCAGAACGUCGUGAGACAGUUCGGUCCCUAUCCGUCGCAGGCGUAGGAAAUUUGAGAAGACCUGUCCUUAGUACGAGAGGACCGGGAUGGACGUACAUCUGGUGUACCAGUUGUUCUGCCAAGGGCAUGGCUGGGUAGCUAUGUACGGAAUGGAUAAGCGCUGAAAGCAUCUAAGCGCGAAGCCAACUUCAAGAUAAGAUUUCCCACCGUAAGGGUAAGACCCCAGGAAGACUACCUGGUUGAUAGGUCGAAGGUGUAAGUGCAGUAAUGUAUUUAGCUUAUCGAUACUAAUAGGUCGAGGACUUGACCA
rnacentral:rRNA from 1 species